GCCCAGCUAGCUCAGAUGGUUAGAGCGUGAUGCUAGUAACACCAAGGUUGUAGGUUCAAUUCCUGUAUGGGACA